AGAACGAACGCUGGCGGCAGGCCUCAAACAUGCAAGUCUAGGGGGUGUAGCAAUACAUCACCGGCGGACGGGUGCGUAACACGUGGGAAUAUACCUUUUGGUUCGGAACAACUGAGGGAAACUUCAGCUAAAUACCGAAUGUGUCCUUGCGGAGAAAGAUUUAUCGCCAAAAGGAUUAGCCCGCGUUCGAUUAGCUAGUUGGUAGGGUAACGGCCUACCAAGGCGACGAUCGAUAGCUGUUCUGAGAGGAAGAUCAGCCACACUGGGACUGAGACACGGCCCAGACUCCUACGGGAGGCAGCAGUUGGGAAUCUGGACAAUGGGGGAACCCUGAUCCAGCCAUGCCGCGUGAGUGAUGAAGGCCUUCGGGUUGUAAAACUCUUUCGACGGGGACGAUAAUGACGGUACCCGUAGAAGAAGCUCCGGCUAACUUCGCGCCAGCAGCCGC
rnacentral:rRNA from 1 species